AAAAUGGGGAGGAUUCUCUCAACUCUCCCCCAGCCGGUUCAACGCGCGCAACUCUUAUCGGCCCAGAACGAGGGCCGGAAAUCUCCAAACAACCCCAAAAUCUCUCAAAUACUCAGAUCUAAUCCCCUAAACCUAGAUCUAGGACUAAAAACCUCUAAAACAACCUAAAUGACUAAAAAACUCCCCGACCAUUCGGUUUCCACUUGCCCAGACCACCGCGAAGAUCUCAGACCAAGGGAACAAGGAUGAUGGGAGUAGGUGUGGUGGGUGAACUGCCUUCGACUUCUGAUGCUGAAAAAUGGUGAUUAUAUAAACCUAUAUUUUUGUACUGCUAUGUUAAGCCGACCAUUAGAGAAAUCACAAACAAUCACUAAUCAAUAAUCAUAUUGUAUUAAUAUCCGUGUGUACUAAGUUGAUUGUAGGCCUAAACAUGGCCUUAUAUUUAGUGAGGAUAUAAAAAUUUCAAGCUUAUUA